AUGGAGGAACCCCUGUGCUGCUGCGAGUACGUGGACCGGAGGGGUGAGAGGAACCACCUGGCUGCGUGCUGCUGCGACUGCGAGGACCUGGACGAGGGCUGCGAGAGGUGGCUGACAUGCAAAUCCCUGCCCCCGGGAGCUCUGGAAAGAAUUGCCGACACCAUCGCGGAUCGGGUGCGAGUCCCUUGGUUUGCAGGGGCUGUGAAGGUCAAUGUCAGCCUCGUGCCGCCUCUGGUUCUGCUGCCCGUCUUCCUCCACGUUGCCGCUCUGCACUUCCUGCUUGGACUGGUCAUCUUGACAUCUCUGCCCGUGGUGGUGCUGUGGUAUUACUACCUCACCCACAGGAGGAAGGAAAGGACUCUUUUCUUCUUGAGCCUGGGACUCUUCUCCUUGGGCUAUAUGUACUAUGUGUUUCUUCAGGAGGUGGUUCCCCGAGGCCACGUAGGGUAUUCCCAAGUGGUCGCUCUCACAUUUGGGUUAAUUCUUAUGCUUGCAGCCUUGUCUCGAGCCAAGAAAGACCCUGGUUACCUUCCCAUCCCAGCAAGCAACAAGAAGUCAUCGCCUCAGGGUUUGGCCAACAAGAGUGUUAGAGGGACCUCCAAUGGGCUGCAUGCUGUUGCCACGUCUGGUGGUGUCAGUGGCCGUGCUGUGAAUGGAGCAGCCAAAGGCUAUUCCAGGAUGUCAUCUGAGGAGCCAGAAGGUGUGAGAAAGGACUGGUGCACUAAAUGCCAACUGGUCAGACCAGCCCGAGCAGGGCACUGCCGGCUUUGUGGCAGAUGUGUAAGGAGACUGGACCAUCACUGUGUCUGGAUCAACAGCUGUGUAGGGGAGCGGAACCACCAGGCAUUCAUCCUUGCACUCUCCUUCUUCAUGCUCACCUCUGUGUAUGGGAUUAUGUUGACCUUGCACACUGUCUGCAGAGGCCGGACUCCGUUUGUGGCAUUGUUCUACUGUCCAGGAGCCUAUUCUGACUACAGCUCUGCUCUGUCGUUCACCUGUGUGUGGUACUGUGCCAUUGUAACAGCUGGCAUGGGAUAUAUCCUCCUUAUCCAGCUGUUGAACAUCAGCUACAACGUGACUGAGAGGGAAGCUCGGCUGGCUCUGCGGGACAACACUGGGCGCAGGCUCCUGGGGGGGUUAGUGAUAGACACUGGCCAGUAUAACAGGGGUUUCUUAUGCAACUGGGGCCAUUUCUUGAGCCUGGGGUCUUCUCCUCCACAGCGCUCUGCUGAAGACAUCGUGUGAUACCCUUCUGUCUGAAGGUGACGUUGACUGAUUUUGUUUAGCAGGAGAAUGGCCCCUUCCACUAGGACUCCUCCUUCCCACACCCUUCCUUCAUGGUUGGUGUAUGGGCUGCCUGUCCCGUCACAGAGAACAUCGGACGCUUUUCCAGGCAGAAUGGUUCUUCGUGUGCUGUCAGCCAGCAAUAGGAUGCAGAAAGCAGUAAGCCAUAUGCAUAAACCUCGAGGGGAGGGGCCCACUGCUUAUUUCUGCUGUGGGAAACUUUGUGCAGCCCAGCUCAGCAGGAAGAAGAGCACAAGGUUUUGAGAACUUGAGUUUUUGUUAGGUGGGCACCCUGGCAUCAAGAAGAACCUGCUUUUGGACUUCAGAGCACACGCUGGUUCCUGCAAAUGUUAAGGAAUCCCUGACUGAUACCCAUGUGUGAAAUUUCAGAGAUGUCAAGAGGGUGAACUUCUGAUACUACAGAUGGGCCAUUGCAGAAGCUGGGCUCCUUGUCUAAAAGAGACCAUUUAGGCAGUCACUGAGCGGCUCCCUCUUCUCUGGUGCAUUUUAUUUUUUCAAUAUCCCAUCCAGCUGUAUACAUGCUUGUAUUAAGUGCCUUUGUGAGUGACAUUCUUGUAGGGCUUUAAGAUCCCUUCACCUCUUGACCCCUAAAGUUGUUAUUCCAUCUCCAACUGGGUGAGAAGACACCAUCAUCUUCAAUCUCAUCAUUCUUCCUGUGAGCUGACUCUGUGUUGGUUUGAAGGCUUGCCUCGCCUCCAUGUUUCUGCCCUGAUUAUGGAUUGUGACACAAAAUGGCAGGUAAAUAUACGAAACAACAAGGUGUUUUGAAGGAAUAUAUAACAGUGGACUGAACCAAAAACAAGAGUGCUGUCUUGGAGUUACUGUAGCUUUAUGGAAACUACCUUCCUCUCUCUAUGAGAGAAGGGAGUCUGGGAGAGGCGACAGUUCUACUAAUAGCAUUUUUGGUAGUUAGCAUCUUGGUCAGUGGUGUUGCUAAUAACAUAGUGAUUCCGUUUCCUCUCAGUUCAGGCACUGUGGAGCUGUCUCACCAUAGGUCUGUCUUCUCAAGCCAAGAAGCCAUAUGGCCUCAGCAUAUGUAGGGAGAGAGUGUGUUGGAGCUGUUUUUAGGGUAGAUGACCUGCACUGGCAGGUGAAUGAAUGUGUUAAAUGUGCUAAGCAAGAAUGCCCCUUGUUCCUCAUCAGCCUGCAGGUGUAUUAUUUCCCAGACUUGAACUUCAGCUGAAAUCACAAGAUUUUGGCAGCAAUAGUUUCUAGGUUUUGUGGGUAGGGAUUUUUUUAUUGCUUUUUGUUCUAAACCAUUUGUGUAUAUUGUUGGGCCUGCAGUAAUCUUAAAGGUCUGGUUGGAAAAGCCUGGAACUGUGGCGCAAGAGGUAAGGACUCUGCCUGAGAGGCAGAACCAGAGAGAAGAACCUUGUCCUAGUUACUGAUUUCUUUUUAUUUUUUUUUCUGAUCAUUCCUCCUUCCUACUCCCCUUGUGUGGCAGGCAGCUGGGGGAUGCUGACUGAGUGAUGCAAAUUCACUCUGUGCUGUUGUGCAUUACAUGUGAAGAAUGGAUGAAAGAUGCAUGGUGCCAAAAGGUGAUGGGGUACCAGAAUCACAGAAUGCUCGGGUUGGAAGGGACGUGUAGAGAUCAUCUAGUCCAACCCAUCUGCUAAAGUAGAUUCACCUUGAUUAGCUUGCACAGGAACAUGUCCAGGUGGGUUUGAAAACCUCCAGAGGAGGAGACUCCACACGCUCCCUGGGCAGCCUGUGCCAGGGCUCCCUCACCCUCACAGGGAAAUAGUUUUUCCUUAUGUUUAAGUGGAACUUUUUUGUGUUCCAACUUUUGUCCAUUACCCCUGUCAUGUCACUGGACACUACAGAAAAAAGUGCUGCUCCAUCCUCUUGACAUACACUUUUCAAAUAUGUGUAAAAGUAUUAAUGAGAGUCCUUCCUCAGUCUCCUCUUCCCCAGGCUGAACAGCCCCAGUUCCUGCAGCCUUUCCUCAUGAGGAAGAUGCUCCAGUCCCCUGAUCAUGUUGGUGGUCCUGCCCUGGACUCUCUUCAGAAGCUCUCUGUCCCUCUUGAGCUGGGAAGCCCAGAGCUAGACACAGGACUCCAGAUGAGGCCUCACCAGGGCAGAGUAGAGGGGGAGCAGAACCUCCCUUGACCUGCUGGCCACACUCUUCUUGAUGCAUCCUGGGAUGCCAUUGGCCUCCUUGGCCACGAGGGCACAUUGCUGGCUCAUGGUUAAUUAUCAAUCAGGACUCCCAGAUGUCUCUCUGCAGAGCUGCUCUCCAGCAGGUCAGUCCCCAGCCUGUACUGGUACAUGGGGUUGUUCCUUCCCAGAUGCAGGACUCUGCACUUGUCCUUGUGAGGUUCCUCUCUGCCCAACUCUCAAGCCAGUUGAGAUCCUGCUGAAUGGCAGCACAGCCUUCUGGGAAAUCAGCCAGUCCUCCCAGUUUGUCAUCAGUGAACUUGCUGAGGGUACACUCUGUCCCCUCAUCCAGGUCGCUGAUGAAGAUGUUCAUCAGAUACUGGCCCCAGAACCAGUCCCUGUGGAACUCCACUGGCCACAGGCCUCCAACUCGAUUCUGUGCCUUUGGGGGAUGUCCCUAAAGGUCCCUGCCAUAUUUGGUGUGUGUCUUGACUACACGUCCCAGUUUAAGAUGAAGACCAUGUCUCUCUUUGCACUGUUUAGUUGCCUCAAGUGGCAGUUUCUACAACCAGCAGAUAAUUGAGGAGCAGCUGCACUUGGAAUGUAGCUGUGCAGAAAGAGGUACUGACUUAAGUGUCCCUUGUUUCCUCUUACCUCUAUUCAUGUGGUGAGAAAUCCCUUAAAAGGAGAUUAAGGGAACGUCUUUUUUUCUUCCGGCCUCUAACUGAAUACAUUGAGAGAUUUCUGACCAUAUCUCUGACCCUGAUGUGAAGAGAAAGGCAUCCAACUGGGCUGUACUAAUUGUUCCUCUAUGACCUUCUGACUGUUUGGAGCCUGACCCUAGGAAUUGAAAUUCACACACAGACCUUGCCUCCACGUGAGUUGUCUGUAAAUGUUUCCAUGGCACAUACACAUUUUUGUGUUGCCUGCUGAGAUGAACUGGAGCUUGGCAACCCUGGAGACAAGGAUGCUGUGGGCUAGCAGAUUUGUGAUCUCUGAACUCAUCGUACUGGUACUUUGGAAAAUUAAGGCAGAAUGACCUCUUGGGCUAAACAAACCCCUGCAGUGGAGGCAGCCAACCUCCCUGUCACUGAAUUUCAUGCAACGAGCUCUGUGAGCAUUUACAGGUCAAGAUAAGUGAUUCCCCAGAGUCCUGCUACUUCUGGCUGGGAGAAAGCAGAGGAGAUGAGAGGUCAUUUCCCAGGCAGUCCCUGAACCUGUUGUGCUCACCUUGUGUCAUGGUCAGAGAUUGGUUAGUACUUUGCAGCCUAUCUGUCCGUGUAGUCUUGUCUCUUUUCUCUUAGUGAGCAUUGGUGUGGGACAUUUCAUUUGAGCUGCUUAGACUGAGUCAGUAUUCAGUGGUGGUCCUCCAGGCAGCAUGGCUUUUGGAGUGCAGAUUAGGAACACAGGACCUUGGACUAAUGUGACCAUUCCAUACCAUCAAACCCACUCCAAUAUAGCAGGGGUGAAGUGCUAAAGUAUCUGUUAUUUUUGCUCUUCAGUGGGAACUGGAACCCUUCAGGACACUAAGAGAAUUUCAAGGCUGGUUUGGUUUUGUUGUUUUGUUUUUUUCUUAAGGAGAAGAAUACAGUGCUGAUUCCCCUUUGAACAGGAAGUUCAGGUGGCUUUGCUCUCUUUAAGGACGUGACUUUAUCAUCCUGGCUUCUUCCUGAGAGGAUUUGCCUUGGGAGGUGGGAAGCAUAAAGUAACAGGAUAUCUAAAAGGCAGGUCACAGGUCCCCACAUUGACUGUUUCUCCAUUUAACUUGUCCUCAAAUGACAGAAGUCACUGGUGAGCCUGAGUUAGCACUGCUUGUGAUUCCUAAUCACAUUUCAGCCUUCAUGCUAUGAUGGUGCUUUUUUUUUUUCUUCAAAGGAAUUGCUUUCAAGUGUCUUAAUGAAACCAUUUGCUGUAAAGUUUCUUCUGAAGAUAAAAUGGGUACUGCCUCACUGCCUAAUGUCUUAAUAAUGUGCUUAGUUUUUUUCUCUCUAUAUGAAUGUAUAUUGCCUCAUUAGGGCAGGAAGUGUGUGUGAUUAUGGAUGUGUAUUCCUGUAUGACUUUCAGUGAAGAACUCUACAGUUCCCUAGGAUUUUCUUUAACUAUCAGGAUGUUUGUACAGUGAAAAUCAUUCUUGAGAACAGCGAGGUUGUUUCUGAAUUCAGCCUCCCAAGGUCUCAUCUUUAUGGAACUCUUCUAAUGGUAACAUGAAGAACGAUGGGCUCUGGAAGAACUGACUGCCUUGGAGAGUUGGGAUGCUCUGUGAUUUAGUGUGGUGUGGAUUUUUUUUCCCUUUUUCCACCUUAAGCUUUAGGAAGAAACUUUGUGAAACCUUUGUGAGUUUUUUGAAAGGAUUGAUGUGUGUGUGUG